rnacentral:tRNA from 1 species
GUCCGGCUGGCUCAGUUGGUAGAGCAUGUGACUCUCGAUCUCAGGGUCUUGAGUUCAGGUCCCACACUGGGCA